GGGGGGUUGGUCUAAUGUGGUCAUGAUUCGGGAAUGUGGCUCCCGCGAUCGAGGUUCGACUCCUCGGCUCCCCU
rfam:Emiliania huxleyi CCMP1516 EMIHTscaffold_22_Cont1157, whole genome shotgun sequence.